UAUAUUGAAGACCGACCGUUGCACAUGUUGUACUGUGCUGCUGAAGAGAACUGCCUGGCAAGCUCCGCCCGCUCAGCUAACUGGCCCUACGGCCACAGGCGUCUGCUCCGAUUCUCUUCCCAGAUCCACAACCUAGGAAGAGCUGACUUUAGGCCCAAGGCUGGGCGCCAUUCCUGGGUGUGGCAUGAGUGUCACGGAUGUCUCCAAGAGAUAUGAGUGUGCCAACUUUGGAGAGCAGGGCAUCACUGUGGGAUGCUGGGACCUCUACAGGCAUGACAUUGACUGUCAGUGGAUUGACAUCACAGAUGUGAAACCAGGAAACUACAUUCUUCAGGUGGUUAUCAACCCAAAUUUUGAGGUAGCAGAAAGUGACUUCACCAACAAUGCUAUGAAGUGCAACUGCAAAUACGACGGGCAUCGCAUCUGGGUGCACAACUGCCACAUUGGUGAUGCCUUCAGUGAAGAAGCCAACAGGAGGUUUGAGCGCUACCCAGGCCAGACCAGUAACCAGAUUGUCUAAAAUGCUACCGCCCUCUCUGCAAACCACCACUGGCCCCCAAUGGCAGGGGUCUGAGGCUGCCAUUACCUCAGGAGCUUACCACAAGAACCCCUGAUGUCAGCAGGCGCACUACAAAUGAUGAACUGUUGAAGAGAAGUUGGUGCCUCCCUUACUUGGUCAGCUGGCAUUACCUUUGGCCAAGCAUGGAUAAUCAGCCAACAGACCCAGCAGUAGACAGAACACACCACAAAGAACUGCCCCAUACAGGAUGGCAGCAGCUCAUUCUCUUGACUAGGGGAGAUCAAGAGGGUCAGCUCCCAUAGCUCUAAGUUCUCCUAAGUACCGCGUUACCUCCAGCCAUUUGGUGGGGAAAAGAUCCAGCCCCCCCCCCCAUGUUUGACUGUAACAUGUUGCUAGGUAUAAUUUUAUUUUAUAUAAAAUGUGUUCUUCAG
rnacentral:lncRNA from 1 species